rnacentral:rRNA from 1 species
GGCCUGUUGAGCAUAAUUUCAGGUCUGACCUGCCCAAUGAGUAAUUAAAUGGCUGCGGUAUAUUGACCGUGCAAAGGUAGCAUAAUCAUUAGUUUUUUAAUUGAAAGCUUGUAUGAAAGGUUUGAUGAGAAAAUUACUGUCUCUAGAAGGAUUGAUUAGAACUUUAUUUUUAAGUAAAAAAGCUUAAAUGUGUAUAGAAGACGAGAAGACCCUAUAGAGUUUCAUAUUUUUUAUAAAGAUUUUAGAUUUUUGGAAGUUAGAAAUUUUAUAUUUUUAGGAUAAUAUUUUGUUGGGGUGAUAGGAAAAUUGAUUAAACUUUUCUUGAUUUGGUACAUUGAUGUAUGGAUGUAUGAUCCUAUAGUUUAGAUUAUAAGAUAAAAUUACCUUAGGGAUAACAGCGUAAUUUUUUAGAGAGUUCUUAUCGAAAAAAAAGUUUGCGACCUCGAUGUUGGAUUAAAAUUAGUUAUUGGUGAAGAAGCUGAUAAACUUGGUCUGUUCGACCUUUAAAAUUUUACAUGAUCUGAGUUUAAACCGGUGUGAG